CGCCCAAAGGUUCCCUCAGAAUGGUUGGAAAUCAUUCGCAGAGUGUAAAGGCACAAGGGAGCUUGACUGCGAGACCUACAAGUCGAGCAGGGACGAAAGUCGGGCUUAGUGAUCCGGUGGUUCCGCAUGGAAGGGCCAUCGCUCAACGGAUAAAAGCUACCCCGGGGAUAACAGGCUUAUCUCCCCCAAGAGUCCACAUCGACGGGGAGGUUUGGCACCUCGAUGUCGGCUCAUCGCAUCCUGGGGCUGUAGUCGGUCCCAAGGGUUGGGCUGUUCGCCCAUUAAAGCGGUACGCGAGCUGGGUUCAGAACGUCGUGAGACAGUUCGGUCCCUAUCCGUCGCGGGCGCAGGAAAUUUGAGAGGAGCUGUCCUUAGUACGAGAGGACCGGGAUGGACGCACCGCUGGUGUACCAGUUGUUCUGCCAAGGGCAUCGCUGGGUAGCUAUGUGCGGACGGGAUAAGUGCUGAAAGCAUCUAAGCAUGAAGCC
rnacentral:rRNA from 1 species